rnacentral:lncRNA from 1 species
CACUAUUGGUUUCGAGAAGUCGUCAAUGAAGUACAAGAACUAGAUCCGCAGUCGUUGUAUAAAUGGAAAUUAGCUCACUUUACAUUUGUCUGUUGACGAAUGCGUAAGCAUGGUAGCUCAUCCUAGUUUUGUUGUGAAUUCUUGAAUGAACGGGGUUUGUUAGUGAAACAUUGGCAACUCUGUUAAGUUCUGCUUGAUGGGCAUUUUCCUUUGGCUUUCUCAGGAACAGCCCGAGUAAUACUGUAAUCCAUGUAAACUGAAAUGAAGAUAUACUACCUUUUGAAUAGAGUAUCGUACCUUGGAAUAAGCACCAAGCAUCAAAGUGAAAUGUUUGCAUACCAACUUCAUAUUAUGCAGUUUGGAUUUGUGUGACUAAUGAGUAGAUUAUGAGCUGAGAGUGCAAAUAGUUCAAUAUAUAACUUGCCUUG